rnacentral:rRNA from 1 species
UACGUAGGGUCCAAGCGUUGUCCGGAAUUAUUGGGCGUAAAGAGCUCGUAGGCGGUUUGUUAAGUCAGUUGUGAAAGCCCAGAGCUCAACUGUGGAAUUGCGGUUGAUACUGGCGGGCUUGAGUACGGAAGAGGCGAGUGGAAUUCCUGGUGUAGCGGUGGAAUGCGCAGAUAUCAGGAGGAACACCAAUGGCGAAGGCAGCUCGCUGGGCCGGUACUGACGCUGAGGCGCGAAAGCGUGGGGAGCAAACAGG